AGAGUUUGAUCCUGGCUCAGGACGAACGCUGGCGGCGUGCCUAAAACAUGCAAGUCGAACGGGGGCUUCGGCCCUAGUGGCGAACGGCGGAGUAAUACAUAAACAACGUGCCCUGAAGACCGGGAUAGUUACUGGAAACGGUGGGUAAUACCGGAUGUGGUUCUUGGAGGACAUCCUUCGAGAAUUAAAUGGUUUUUCGCUUCAGGAGCGGUUUAUGGCCUAUCAGCUAGUUGGUGGGGUAAUGGCCUACCAAGGCGACGACGGGUAGGGGGUCUGAGAGGAUGAUCCCCCCGAGUGGGACUGAGACACGGCCCACACACCUACGGGUGGCAGCAGUUGGGAAUCUUGCACAAUGGGGGAAACCCUGAUGCAGCGACGCCGCGUGGAGGAUGAAGGAUUUAGGUCUGUAAACUCCUUUUUCAGGGAAAGACUUAGGACGGUACCCUGAGAAUAAGCACCGGCUAACUACGUGCCAGCAGCCGCGGUAAU
rnacentral:rRNA from 1 species